rnacentral:rRNA from 1 species
UACGUAGGGUGCGAGCGUUGUCCGGAAUUAUUGGGCGUAAAGGGCUCGUAGGCGGCUGGCUAAGUCGGAUGUGAAAUCCCCAGGCUUAACUUGGGAACUGCAUCCGAUACUGGCUGGCUUGAAUCCGGGAGAGGGAUGCAGAAUUCCAGGUGUAGCGGUGAAAUGCGUAGAUAUCUGGAGGAAUACCGGUGGCGAAGGCGGUAUCCUGGACCGGCAUUGACGCUGAUGAGCGAAAGCCAGGGGAGCAAACGGG